ACAGCCUUACUUGAACAGGAUCUGUUCUAUAGGCUCGUACCACUGUAUCUUGAAUUCCAAGGAGACCGGAAACUGAGUCUAGUGGAUGAACUCUAGCCAUUAGACCAGUGCGUGAUUAACAGCCUCCUGGCCUUCAGGUCAUGGGUGGCGUAGAGGAUCGUUCUCAGAUCAAACCAUGUGUGCUGGGAUGGUCUAUUGUCUGUCUGAUAGACU